rnacentral:snRNA from 1 species
ACUGCUUCUUGGCCUUCUGGCUAAGAUCAAGUGUAGUAUCUGUUCUUAACAGUUUAAUAUCUGAUAUGUCCUCUAUCCGAGGACAAUAUAUUAAAUGGAUUUUUGGAACAGGGAGAUGGAAUAGGAGCUUGCUCUGCCCAUUCCACAUACAAAAACAAAC